rnacentral:rRNA from 1 species
UGGCUCAGAACGAACGCUGGCGGCAGGCUUAACACAUGCAAGUCGAGCGCCCCGCAAGGGGAGCGGCAGACGGGUGAGUAACGCGUGGGAACGUACCUUUUGCUACGGAAUAACUCAGGGAAACUUGUGCUAAUACCGUAUGUGCCCUUCGGGGGAAAGAUUUAUCGGCAAAGGAUCGGCCCGCGUUGGAUUAGC